UUGAUGACAUGGAUCCUACGUCAAUUUUUCCAAUGAUUCUCUUUUUUUUUUUAAUUUUAACCGCUAAUUAACAUUCUGAAGCGUAUUUCAAAGGGAAGUGGAAACAGGGAUGUGUGUGUCUGAAACGGACAAUAUGUCUUACGACGUAUUUUUGAUGAAUCAUAGACUAGAUUGAAAAAAGAGAAUCUUAAAAUAGAAACAACUUUAACAACUCGGAAAAUCAUUCGGAACAAUUCAAUAAUAUGAGAUUAUUAUUUAAUAAUAAUCUCAAUAAUAUUAAUAAUAAUUAUUACAUUAAGGAUUCAAACAAAUGGUAGCAUUUAGCGCGAAAAAUUAUUGAAGAACAAAGAAUUCUCGGGAUUUCCAAACACUUGUUUUUCAACAGAAAACUUAUCAGUGUCUAAGGUCACGGUUUCACUUAAAUCUCGUAUUGCAAGUUCAAAAAACCCAUCAACCCUCUUCAUAAAGGCAAUACUUGGCGAAAAUUCGCGGGGUACACGUAGGUCUUCCCAACGGAAUUCACUUAAGUUUUAUUAUCAACCGUUUAAAAGAUACGUUAUAUAAUUAAAAAUUCUACAACCUCUAUUUUAUGGUUGCAAUUCAAGGUUUCCUGAAAAAAUAAAAAAGUUACGAAAAUUUCCCAGUUUUUCAUGAAACCUUUAAAGCGACCCCUUUAUAACAUACGUAAUACUUUACCCUGACAUCGGGAGCUCACAUUUAAAAAUAGUUUUCGUUGUUCGGAAUCGCUCGGAAAAGGAAAUCAGGUCACGUAGAGCUAGAAAAAAGCAAGCUACCGUCUAGUUUGGCGUCGGUUAGCCUUUUUCUCUUCGUCUAAUCAUUGCAGGGGUGGAAUUCUCGUGUUUUUGUUUUUUCUGUUUUGUUCAAACGACGUUUUCACAACGUUGGCGAUUUAUAAGCUUUAUUACUUCCGAAAACAGACAAAAAUGAAUCCAUAUGCCCUAAAGCGAUGCACCCAAAAAGGAAGUGUAUAAAACCCACGGAUUUGAGACAAAAAUGGCUGGGUGAGGAAUUCGUUCCUCAGUUCAAUCUGGAAACUGGUAAUCGGAGUAGCUCAAGCUUCGUAUGAACAGCCACACACCAUGAAAGUUUUCGUCAAUUCCAUUGCGAAAAUUCACCAGGUAAUGUCGUCUGCAUUACCAUCUUCGGAGUUGGUGUUUGCGGUCGUGAUAGCCUCACUAGUGACAUUACCGUCAGUGCAGGUCAUCAUGAUGGUGUGUUUUUUAUACGGUUGCUUGCAGUGCAUCUCCAUUAUCGUGGUUCUCGGUGUUUCGCUCUAUACAAUUCCAAUGAGGCUAGGUACUCCAACUUACCGUGACGGCCAUUCGAACAGUCAAUAUCCACCCCUGUUUCUGCCCAUUCGAGCUCUGCAUGUUGACCAAUUCAUGGAGCGCGACGGCGCCAAACAUCGCAAUUUUCAUUGACAUUGACAUGUUAAUAUAAAGACUCGCCCUGUGAUCUCAACCAGUUUUAUCCAUCGCUUCCAACUAAAUACAUCGCACACAUGAAGUUUAAGGUUGAAAUGAAAAUGUAUUUCUUUUGCCACCAACCAAUACAUCGUUAGUAUUCUGAA